UGGCUCCAGUUCUUGCCCUCUGCAUCUUAUCUCUACCUGCUUUUCAUUUUACGAAAAAAUUAAACACUAUUAGUAUUAGUCCUAUGUACCCACUAACAUAUGUUAAUAUAAGAGAGUUUUUCUUUCUUGGUAUGAAUAAAUGAAUGAAUGUGAUAAUAUUGGAAUAAAAUGGGUUUAAUGAGAUCAUUGCAUCGUAGGUGUGACGGAGUGGAAAAAGCCACGUGUCAUGGUGGCUACGCAAUGCCGUAAUUAUGUCAUCUCUACUUUACUUGCAAGAGAUUCCUGAUUUUCUAAACACUAUGCUUUUUAAAGAAGGAGCAAACAACACCAACAAUGACACCACCACUUAUUUCACAUAUAAUAAGUUAAAAGAAAACUAUGCAAUACAUAUUCGCAUAAUAAUUUACUUGCUCAUAUAUUUGAAUGGUACCCACGAUUUCCAAAUCUUAAUCAUUUUCGUGGCCUACCC